rnacentral:lncRNA from 1 species
AAAUAAACACACAAAACAUUCCAUUCAAAGCUUUGGAAGCUUUAAAAUGGAUUAAACACACAAAAUAACCAUAAUAAGUGUUUUUGGACCAAAAUUGGUCUCUUACACUUUUUAUUACAACAUAACAAGAACAACUAAAUAAAAUGGGCAGCAAGAGAUGCGCCCCACCCCUCCUCCAAUGGUUUGAUGCACAUGACCAUUUUAUCCUCCAUGCUUUCUAGUGUAGGUUUGGACUCCAAGACUUUUGCCACCAAUUGAGUUAGGGCCUCCUUAGCUUUCUUGGUUCUCGACCUUGUCAUUGGUCCUCCUAACCCUUGAAUUGAAGCACUUGUGUCAUGGACAACCAUGCCCUCAUCA